AGCCCCGUAGUGUAGCGGCCAAGCAUACUAGGCUCUGGACCUGGUGACAGGAGUUCGAAUCUCCUCGGGGCUA
rnacentral:tRNA from 1 species